AACGAACGCCGGCGGCAGGCUUAACACAUGCAAGUCGAACGCACCUUUCGGGGUGAGUGGCAGACGGGUGAGUAACGCGUGGGAAUCUACCCUUCUCUACGGGAUAGCUCCGGGAAACUGGAAUUAAUACCGUAUACGUCCUGAGGGAGAAAGAUUUAUCGGGGAAGGAUGAGCCCGCGUUGGAUUAGCUAGUUGGUGGGGUAAAGGCCUACCAAGGCGACGAUCCAUAGCUGGUCUAAGAGGAUGAUCAGCCACAUUGGGACUGAGACACGGCCCAAACUCCUACGGGAGGCAGCAGUGGGGAAUAUUGGACAAUGGGCGCAAGCCUGAUCCAGCCAUGCCGCGUGAGUGAUGAAGGCCCUAGGGUUGUAAAGCUCUUUCAGUGGGGACGAUAAUGACGGUACCCACAGAAGAAGCCCCGGCUAACUUCGUG
rnacentral:rRNA from 1 species